ACUAGGACCGCCAAUAACCCAUUAGGAUUAGUUGGUAAAGUCCAAGGCAGAAGCAGGGGGGAUGAAGGGGGAUUCCAAUUGACACUAGGACAAACAAUCAGUUAUUAGGAUAGAAGUGAAGAAGGGUGAUACCACCUGAGACUAAACCAAUCAACCAUUAGGAAUAUUUGGUAUAUUCCAAGGCAGAAAUGGGGGAAAGAAGGGUAAUACUGAGACUAGGACAACCAGUCACCCAUUAAGAGUAGUUGGUACAGUCCAAGGCAGAAAAGAGGGGGCGGGAGAAGGGUGAUACCAACUGAGACUAGGACAGCCAAUCACCCAUUAGGUGUAGUAGGUAAAGUCCAAGGCAGAAGCAGGGGGGAUGAAGGGAGAUACCAAUUGAGACUAGGACAAACAAUCCCCCAUUAUGAUAGAAGUAAAGAGGGGUG